UACAGAGGGGGCAAGCGUUAUUCGGAAUUAUUGGGCGUAAAGCGCGCGCAGGCGGUCCUUUAAGUCUGAUGUGAAAGCCCACGGCUCAACCGUGGAGGGUCAUUGGAAACUGUGGGACUUGAGUGCAGAAGAGGAAAGCGGAAUUCCACGUGUAGCGGUGAAAUGCGUAGAGAUGUGGAGGAACACCAGUGGCGAAGGCGGCUUUCUGGUCUGUAACUGACGCUGAGGCGCGAAAGCGUGGGGAGCAAACAGG
rnacentral:rRNA from 1 species